UAGUACCACGUUACAAACAAGUUGAUUUUUAUCCAUGGAAUUGAUCUGAUGCGAAGCUGAUGCCACAUAAAAGGUUAACUGAGUUCUUAUCUCCAAUAUGUCAUGAUGUUACAGUUCAAUUAUUUUCACCUCUCUAGCUACUAUGCACGGAAGGUGUUUGCUAAUUUGCACAAUGAUAUUUUCUGGUAAAAUACGCUAAUAUUACCUUCAUUUUUUCACAUUUUAGUGAUGUCCUCUUAUUAAUCCCUUCUAUAAUCAAAUCUGAUAUGUAUUUGUUCAUCUAGGCAUCUAGCUGCAGGUGGAAUAACAAGAUUCAGUGUGUGCAAUGACAACAAUAAAUAACAUGUCAUUAGGGAGACUUCUGACAAUUGAACCCUGCUUUUUUUGGCAUUAGUACAACUGUUCUACUGCAUUAUUCAACUAUGCGCGAUGAAGCUGAUAUAGGGUGUGGACUAGACAAUUUAUUCAGUUUUCUUCAAGAAGGACCAAGGAAUGAACACGAAGCAAAUUAUAACUCUCAGGUUCAUGGUUUAGGAGCAGGAAAGAACACUUCCAAUUGUGUAGAUGGGUCAUCAGUAGCAUUUCUCUAAUUAUUCUUAUAGAGACUGAUUUGGAUUGUUGAAGGAAAGGAUCUCAAUUCUCAAUAGCAAACUGCACUGGGACAUCUUGGACCUAUUCUCCACAUUUCUGAGCUAGAUAUGUUGGUGAGCGGGCAGGCGGUGCUAGACAUGGCAGGGCAAGAGAGCACGAGGGAGAAUGUCGAAGGGGGCAACAUAAAUGAGAGUUCACCGUUAUGCUCAUGUGGUCAGAACCUAGAGCAUGGAUACAAGACCUCCAUCAUCGUCUAUGGACAUCAGAGCAGAGGAGAAGUGAUGAUGGACAUCAGACCAGUGAAGACAGUGAGCAUGGGCUCCUAGACGAUACUUAUCAUAUCAUAUUCUCAGUAUAUAGUCAAAAACUGUAUGCCACAUAUACGUUGUGAAUUACUAU